rnacentral:lncRNA from 1 species
UUUAUGAAGAAGGCGUCACCAGAGCGCUACAUCUCCGAAUGAGUGCUUCUGGAGCAUUUUCAAGUCCCAUCCACUCCUGAGUUAAAGGGGCAGCUCCCGAAAUGCCGUUCCAUUGAAAGCACCACCACCCUUUCCAGAAUACUUUGUCACAUACAGGCUUAUGAAGAUUGAAAAUAUUUCCUGUGUUCGGGUAUUACAGAGAGGUGUGGCAUCAUCUCAGAACACAACUUUGGACUUUAGCUAUGUAUGAUCAGUGUGAUUUCCUGUGGGGAAAAAGUGCACCCAAGGAUGCCAGAGGGCGGUCAACUUGGUGAGGUAAUAAAGAAAUAGGUAACAUAAAAAUGAACGAAGAGUAAGAACUGUGGUUGUAAAUUGAAAAUAACCAGGACAUGUCGGGCAACAAUAUUUCUAUACACUGGGUCCCUUGAGAGUGUGAUGGGCAGACGUGAACUGGCCUGUCUUCAGAUAACUCAUGCAGGGCAUCGGCAGUCAACAGAGUGUGAGCAAUCAAAGGAGAAACUUAUCCCUGCUACCAGGGUUUGGAAUCAGAACCAUUCCAGUAACAACUGGGACAAUGUCAAAUACAACACAGCGGGCACUGCAUCUAGAGGUCGUGUUGGAGGACCCAGGAAAAGAAAGUUUUCUGUGGAAUGGAGGAAAGAGCAUUCUUCUCAGCCUGAUUCUCUUCAUGUAACAAACCUCGUAAUGAGAGGGUGGUAAGUGCCUGGAAGACAGUGGCUUGAAGCAAUAGCAAAGGGAGGAAAGUCAAGAGAGCCGAACUAUUCCUAGGAAAUAUAUCCACCCCUCCAAAACAGAAAAAAAAAGACAAGAAGUAUUCAGAAAUAAGUUUCCCUUUUCAGCCUGAAAUUCUCCAGAAAAGUAAAUUUACAAAUAGUCAUGUAAAUGUUAAGGGAACCACAACAGAUAGUAUAAAGAAGAGGACAAUUGCCAGGCAUGGAGUUUCUGACUCAGAAGACAUCUCUAAUAAAAUGAAGUCAUGUUAUUUCAGGAGUUCCCACUGUGGUACUGUGUGUUAGGAACCUCACUUCAGUGGCUCGUGUUGCAGUGGAGGUGCGGGUUCGAGCUCUGGCUGGACACAAUGGGUUAAAGGAUGUGGCAUUGCCCAGGCAGUGGUGUCGGUUAGAGCUGCGUCUCAGAUUCGGUCACUGGAUCUGAACUUCCAAAUACUGUGGGUGCCACGUUAAAGAAAAAAAAUGAUAGCAAUUGCUCUCUUGGUUGUGGAUCGAGGUUACAUCUCUCAGUUUGGCAAACGCUUCUGAUGAUGCCAGAGUAGACAAGUUGUCUUCCAGUGAAAGCCCUGCUUUCGCAGUUCAUGUGAAACACACGUGUCACUCCCAAAACAGUCUUUUCCGAAGACACCACAGUGCCUGAGCAAGUGGAUGACGUAUGUCUCGGUACUGGCUUUUGCAAGUGUGAUGGUGUCUAAUGCUUUGCAUGGCACAAAGCGAUGCUAAACUUAAUGUAGUUGUCAAGAGGGCUUUCAAAAUUACCUCUGAAGGUGUCAUCUCCUGCAGAAAGGCAACGACCUGGGCGACAAGGCUCUAAUCCUACGCUUUCCAUUCUUGUCAACUGACAUGGUCGUAAGGACGUUCUCAGCGACAGAUCGUUUUUAUACUCGAAGUGCACAGAAAUGGAAUCAAAUCAAUGUUGAGACAGACUCGUGCAUUUCGGGGAAAUGUAGUUUUCGAAAAUGCGUUGGUGGAGGGAAACGAAUGGCACGACUGAAUGAGCAAGGCUUUCCUGGGAGUUCCCGUCAUGGCUCAGUGGAAGUGAAUCGGGCGAGUAUCCAGGAGGACACAGGUUCCAUCCCGGCCCUCGCUCAGGAGGUUAAAGGGUCUGGCAUGGCCAUGGGCUGUGGUGUGUGGUUCGCAGGGGUGGCCAGUACCCGGCCUUGCUGCUUCUGUGGUGUAGGCCGGUGGGUACAGCUCCCACUCAGCCCCUAGCCUGGGAACGUCCCUGUGCCGGUGGGUGUGGCCCUUACAAAACCAAAAAGGCUAGUAAUACCAUCUCACCCAACCUCUGGGGAGGAAAGCUAAUCAUUCUAAAAGUGAGUAACCCAAAAGGACCGAAUAGAGGUGUUACGUGGAACUGAAGAUUGCUCUAACUUUCCAACAGCCUAUGUCAGGGAGAACUGACCUUUCAGAACUCUGAGACACACAAAAUGACACAAGCGGUAGGCAUGGCUUUAGCUUAGGACAGCAGGCAAACUGAAGAAACAUGUUUAUACCUGGGAACACUUGGUUCCCAGGGGUAAGGCCAGUGGAAGAGGGGCGCCCUGGCACACUCUUGACCGAUGGAUGAUAGCAUAUGCUACUUAGGCUUUGAAAGGGCAAUGGGCAGAGGGCGUUCACUGAGCCGUUUGGGGGCCAUCUCCCAUCACUCAAGUCUUUGAAGAGCUAUCGCUUGUGGAGGAGUGGCCCCUCUGACUUGGAAGUCCCGACAGAGCCCCUGUGUUUGGAUGUUUUUGAGAAACACACGUGGAAGAGAAACCCUCUCCCUCUCAGCGUAAUGCUUUGCAUCUCACCAACUUCCUGAAACUGUGGCAAGUGCCUGAAAGACCGAAGAAAAGCCAGUCCUUAUCGGGAGGGCAUGGCAUGCAUUGCAAAGAGCAGGAAUGGCAGAGCAGAGGAGGUAGGCAAACAGAAAUGGACAGAAGUAACGUGGGACAAGUCCCACGCAAAACAUUGAGGUGGAGCUCGUAGACAGGACGUGCAAGAGAAAGACAUGCCGACACAAGCGAAACAGAUGAAAAGGCAGACAAGAGGAAAGGCUGAACCAGUCGCUUCAGAGGGGCUCAAGAGCACUGGGAUGAUGGGAUACCAGAAAAGUUACCAUUUGUUUUCCGAAGACUGGC